ACUGAACUCCAGCCUGGGCGACAGAGCGAGAUUCCGUCUAAAAAAAUAAUAAUAAAUAAAUCUGGUGCUCCGGAUCUAGGAAAACGAGGAUGGAGGUUUUGUGUUGCCAGCCUGUAUCACCACCCUCAUGCUGAUAACAGAAAGGGUGACCUCCUUCCCUUCCCCCUUCCCCCACCACCAGGUCUCUGCCGACGUCCUAGCACUGCACCUUGCUUUCUCUCCUUGGCACAUCCCAGUGUCUAGAAGACAAUCCGUCUUGUUUCAGAUUCUGUCCCUGAAUAAUUUUGUUUUCAGUUUUCCUUUCAGGAGUGUUUGUCAGGGACGAUGCCUACCCCACACAGGGUGGACAGGGAGGAGUGUCAGGUGUCACUGGGUCUGCAUUUGGGGAUGUGAUCUUGAAUGAAUCACCUGUCUAACUCCUCUCAACCUCAGACCCCUCAACUACAGGAUGAGGCUGAGAAUCCCUGUCCUGCUUACCUCUCAGGAUUGUUUUAAAGGUAAAAUGAAACACUAGAUGGAAAAGCACCGUGCAAGCUGCAAGGCAAGUCAUACACACGGCAGGGAUCCAUAUGAUGCUUCGGCUGUGACCCCUUCUCCCCGCUGAUGGCAGGAUGCCCACUCCUGCUUGUAGGGGAAUUCUGCUGGUCUGUUUUUCACAGACAGGCCAAACAGCCCUAGUGCUUGCUCUCUCUUCAUUUUCACUGAUAAGACUUCCAGCUCAUGGAGAGUAAACCAAAGGAGACUUCCUAAGGGAAAACAUCUCUCCUUGCGAGAUUCUGGGCUUAGAAUCUUUAGUGGAAGUUUCCAGUAAGUGACUGUGGGGGAAACAAGCCUCCUCUAUCUGUGGUUUGCAGAAUUCUGAUUCUUCUAAUGGCUACUCCUGAAUGUUUCCAUUUCCUUAAACGCUAACUCACUGUGCAGUUAAUUUCAACUGCCUAUGCCUCAUAACAACUAAAAAAACUACACUUGUGACAUUUAAAAGCCAUCAUGGUAAGUAAUGAUGAUUGCAACAGUUUAUUUCAUAAAUAUGUGUUUGAAUCCAUUACAUGAAUGAAAAUUUGCAUUGCUAUGUCAUUUGAAGUGUGCUGGGAUGCUGUGUUUAUUGAAUAAAAAAGGCUUCCAAAAACAGUAUGGACAGCCAAUUGUGACACCCACAAUAUUAGAGAGACUGUGAUAUAGGCGAAGUGUUUGUCCUCAGAGGGCUGAUAUUCUGGUAGGUGAGUCAGGCCUAAAUGCUCAAGUGAGGUGCUUGACUCCAGUGCAAAGCAUCCAUCAUUUUACCACAGAGAAAGUCACACAUUUAACCAAACCCACCAUUGCAAGUCACACCAGCCUUGGAGUAGAGCCGGAAGCAAUGUAUGUUCCCAAAGCGUAUUACUCUGUGGUCCCGGUACCUGCAAUGUGAAGAAUUCUGCCCCCCUCAAAAUCCUUCUCCAACUCUUUCAGAGAUUUCCUGGGGCAGGGAGGGAUGUUCAUUGUACAUGUGUCCUCAGCCUCCUCCACUUCCUUUCCUGCCCUGACCCCUGGAGGGAGUUUUACAGGUUUUUGAGAAGCUGAUCAUCAGGGUCAGCAUGAUGGCCCAAACUGCUGGUCCCAAACACUGGUGACCCCACCUGGGUCUGCCCCAUUCUCAAUGUCCAGCAGGUAUUUCUGGGGCCUGGCUCCUCAGUGUCUGCUCUUGCACAGAAGGAACACAGGAAUCAAAGAGCCCAGGGAUUAUCUGAGUGUCUGAUGCUGUGCCAUCCCAGAAUCCCCCUUUUAUCUGACACUGGCUCUCUCUCCUGGAGCCUUUCUUGGGUGUAUCAGCCCACUAGUCCCCUCCAUGGAGUUCUUCCCAAGAGAUGCCUUAGCUGAUUAGAAAUCCUGGGAUGGAUGGGAAUCUUGGUGUGGGCCCAGCUCAGGGUUCUAAACCAGGGCUCCAUCAACCUCAAGGGAGAUGUGUGGUCUGCCUGCAAUCUGGUUGCUGUCAUAGAGUUAAGAAUUUCCUGCAGAAGUAUUGAGAAUGACCACUUCCCCCUGAAAUCCGGGCUGUGUCUUAAUUCUGCUCUUCCUGCAUUUGGUUGUAUAGAUAACUGGAUGCUGGAAUCAGAGAUUAAAGGAUCUGAUGUGGGGUGAAGGCCUCAGAAGGAGAUACUGCAGGUAAUCUAUACAGAUCAAUAUCUUAUCGUCUUGCUGGCAGGACCCUGAUUUUGCUUGGAUGGCACCUUCUGUCUCAUGGUUGUGUAUUCAGAAAAGGCUACCCUAUCCCCAGCUUUAAAAGAAAUUAGUAUCAACCAUAAAAUCAAUCACUGCUGUUGCCUGCAAUUUGCUUAGGAUAGGCCAUGUUGCCAUUCUGACCAAUGAGGAUGAAAGGAAAGGCUUUUUGUAGAAGAGAGAGUGGGUGGGCUUUGGAAAAAAAAAAUUUAUUUUGGAAAAUGAGACAUAGAGACCAUAUGGCUCUCCUUUGCUGCCUCUGAAUUUCAGUGAAUGAAGAUGUGAUGCCUGGAGUGACUGCAGCCAUCCUGAUACCACGAGGAGAGCCAACCCAGACACUAAGGAUGGCAGAAAGGAAAUAUGAAAGGAACGUGGGUCUUAGAAAAUGUCAUCGAACUGCUGAAAUAACCAACCCAGGACUGCCUGAACUCAGGGCUUGGGAUUUCAGCUACCCUUCAGAGACCAUCACCAACCCUGACGUUGCAAAAACAAUGAGAGCUCCCCACAAGAGCUGCCACGUGAGAGAAGCCUCUCCACCCCCUCUGUGUGUGACAACAGGUCACAAGCAGAUGGAAACCUGCCUUGCUUAGCCCAGUCUGGGGGAGUGGAAGGACUGACUGCUCCCAGCCUGGUUUGACAAUUACUGCCAAGGAGCCAAGGAUGUUCUGGCCACAAGAGUGUAAUUCAGAGUAAACAGCUGAGAACGUCAUUCAUUGUUAAGCCCUUUACCACCGCUCAUUUUCUCAAAAGAAAUUAUUCUGAUAAUAUUAAUUACUGCCAUUCAUGGAGUGUUUGUUUUAUACUAGAUGCUGAAUUGAGCACUUGACAGUCAUCUCAGAGACAUUUAAUCCUCUCUGAAGCACUAUGAGGUAGGCAUAUACUUCCUGUCUGCACCAGCUGCCUCCUUUGGAUAGACAGACAGACAGACAGAUAAUCUUGAAAACAAAGGUCAACCACUUUUGGAGUGUCAAGCACUGAGCCAAUCACAUUAGAUGGGCUGUUCUUCUUACCCCUGACAAUAAACAUCAUGGAAUCAGGACUAGUUUUAUCAUUAGCCUCACUACAGAGAUACAGAAACAGGCUUGGAGGUGCUGGGUGCCUUGCCAGGGUCACAGUGCUACUAUGCAGAGUGAGGAUUUGAACGCAGGCAGUUUGACCUCAGAGCCUGUGCACCUGCCAUGAGGCAGCUCUACAUGGCCCUGAGCUGGAAACUGGCACAUGGCAGGUACCCCAGGAUAUCUGUCUCAUGAAUGGACUCCUAAUUGGUGCAGCGUCUGCCAUUGCAGCUGAGAAGGGCCGCACAGGGAUCUCUGAACCAGCGCCUUUCAAAUCUGAUGGGCAUACUUACUGCCUGCCUGGGGAUUCUGCUGUAUCCUGCAUCCUGAGUUGGUGGGGCUGGGGUGUGUCAUAAGAUUCUGCUUUUCUAGUAAGUUCCCAGUGAGCCUGAUGCUGCUGUUUCCUGAAUGCAUGCAUCAGAGCAUUCAUUCAUUCUUCGGGAGUUGCCAGACCUUGACUUUGUAUCAUGCCAACACCUCAGAAGAUUUCGUGCCUCAGCCAUGUUUCUCUGGUCCCUUUAAAGCAGCAGCUGUCAACCAUGGGUGAUUUUUGUCCUCCAGAUGCAAUGGCAGUAUCCUGAAACAUGCUUGGGCGUCACCACUACGGGGAGGGGGCUACAGGCAUUAGGUGGGUAGAGGCCAGGAUGCCACUGAACAUCUUACAGUGCCUGGGACAGCCCCCCAAACAAUGAUCUGGCCCAGAAUGUCAAUAGCACUAAGGUCGAGGAACCCUGCAGGAAGUCUUUGCACUGGCAGUUCCCCCUCCCUAGGACACUUGUCCCCCAAGGGACUGCCUGGCUCCAUCCUUCCUUUCCUUUGGGUCUUUGCUCCAACUUCCCCUUCCAGGCACGGCCUUCCCCAGCCUCAUUUUAAAUUGUAACUCCCAUCUCUCACUGUCUCUCCCCUCCCUGCAUCAUUUUUCUCCAUGGAACAUAAUUCCACUGACAUAAUAUGCAUUUUCCUCAAUUAUUUGUUCAUUGCCUGUCUCUCUUAUGUGUUAGUUUCCCACUGCUCCUGUAAAAAAAUGUCCACAAACGUAGUGGCCCCCAAAUAACACAAAUGCAUUCUCGUACAGUCCUAGGAAUCAGAUGGCCUCAAAUCCAGGUGUCAGCAGAGGUUGUUCCUUCUGCAGCCCCAGGGGAGAGUGUUCCUCGCCUUCUCCAGCUUCUGAAGGCUGCCCACGUUCCUUGACUCAUGGCCUCCCUUUUAUUAGGUUGGUGCAAGAGUAAUUGGAGUUACUAACGGUAAAAAAUGCAAUUACUUUUGCACCAACCUAAUAUCUUCAAAGCCAGCCGCAAAUCUCUUCUGCACCUUCAAAUCUCUCUCUGACUCUGGCCUUUCUCUUAUAAGAACCCUUAUGAAGACAUUGGGCCCACCCAAAUAAUCCAGGACAAACUCCCCACCUCAAGGUCCUCAGCUUAAUCACAUCCACAGUGUUCUUUUUACCAUGUGGGGUAACAUAUUCACAGGUUUCAGCAAUUAGGACAUGAGCAUUUGGGGGACCAUUAUUCUGCCCACCACCCCCUCCUAGAAUGAAAGCACCACAGAGGCAGAGAGUUUUAUCUAACGUGUUGAUUUCUAAAUCCCCAGAGCCUAGCACGGGGCCUGGUACUUAGCAAUACUCAUGUAUUGGAUGAUGAAUAACCGUUGGUUUUCAGAAGAAAUAAAUAGAACACCAGAAGCAACAGAAGACACCCCUCCCACCUUGAAAAUAUGGCUCAGCUGUAAGAGUCAAACCUUAAUGUCGAUUUGCUGUGGAUGAGUAUCGGUAUAUAAGAAGGAAACUUAAAGAGACAGGCUACUGUCCUGGCCAGAGUUAGAGCUGGACAAAGCAGUCAGUGGAUCCACAUAAGGAUGGUGUCCACCCACAAGGCCCAGGCCAGCCAAGAAAGCGUGGAAAAUAGGAGACCCCAAGAGACGCUGGCAGCAGAGACCUCACUCUUUCAACAGCCAGUGUGGCCACCGAUGGCUGCCAUGGCUUUCCUACGUGGGGUGAGAAAGCCUGGACAGCAGACACAAAUAAAUGCCCCGUUGGCAGGUACAACUCUAACUGCAAAUUAACCCGCGGACAUUUUGGUUUGUGAGUUGGUGUGUUAGUUUCCCAGGGCUGCCAUGGCAACGUGCCACAAACAGAAGGGCUUUGGCAACAGAACUGUGUUGUCUCCUAGUUGUGGAGGCUAAAAGCCUGAGACUGAGGUGUCAGCAGGGCUGGUUCCUUCUGAGGCCACCAGGGCAUGUGUUCCAGGCCUCUCCCCCAGCUUCUGGUGGUUUGCUGGUAAUCUCUGGUUUUCCUGUUUGUGGCAGCAUCACCCCAACCCUCACAUGACAUUCUCCCUGUGUGCAUGUCUCUGUGUCCAAAUUUCACUUUUUGUGAGGACAUGAUCAUGUUGGAAUAGGGCUCACCUAGUGACCCCAUCUAAACUUGAUCAUCCUCAAAGACCCUAUUUCCAAAUAAGGUCUCAUUCACAGUACGAGGGGUUAAGACGUCAAUAUCUUUUGCAGGGGAUGCCAUUCAACCAUAACUCAGGUUUCUGUGAAUUGAGACAUCGUGAAUGUGAAUCUCCAAGUUUAAUUAGCUUCGAGACACCAGGAAACCACGAACUAUGGGGAAGUCCUGACAGAAUGCACUGAGGACAGCUGCCUGUUCACUGAUUACACCUGGCCCGGAUUAUGAUCAACACCAUUCGAGUCAGACAUUAAUCUACCGCUCCUACUGACUUGCUCCGGAAUGAACACAUUCUACAGAUCUUUGCUUCUCAAACUGUAAUACGCAAAGGACUCACCUGGGGCACUUUCUAAAAAACACCAAGUCUUGUUCAUUAGGCCCAGGUGCGGCCCAAACUUCUGUACUUUUAACAAGCUGCCUGGUGAUGCUAAUGCUGCUGGUCUGAGUAGCAAGGAACGAAGCCAUGGUUUCUGUAUUGCAGAAGACAGAUGCACUGCGUGAUAGGCUGCCCUCGCAUGUACCCUUGCUAAGCCCAGUGUAAAGGGUGAAUGCUACAGAAGGCAAAUGCAUGCCCAUACCGGGAAAGCACCUGGAAAAUGUGCAGCUCUGCCUUCACCAAGUGGAUAUUGCAAUGGCCUCUGCCAGCACAUGGGGCUGGAAGGGAAAUAGCCAUACCAGUUUGUUGCUAGUAUGGCCUCACAUAUUCAUGAGACUUGUUUUGUCAGAUUUCAAGGACGUCUCUCAGUAUCCAUGACUUUCCUAAUCUUUUGUUUUUGUUUUUGUUUUUUUAGAAUGUCAAGACACUUGGACCUUGGAAUAGCUGCAUGCAUGACCCGAGGCAAUGUGCAGUUUCAAGAGAUACUGGCAGUCAGUACCUACACCCGACAUCACAGCCCCUCCUGGUCCCUUCCACACCCACUGAGGCAGAAUCUCCCUGUGCCCCUGCACACUCACGUGUCUCCGCUUUCUCAGCCCCAUGGAUUGAGAUUGGAUCAUACCACUGACUCUUACCAAUGUAACUAGAGGGAAAAAGGACAGUUCCAAGAGAAUGUCCAUUCUUCUUUCUUCCAUUACCCUCUGGAGAGGGGAGUGGAGAGCAAUGGAUUCUAAGAUAACUGAAGGAGGCCGGGUGCAGUGACUCAUGCCUAUAAUCCCAGCACUUUGGGAGAUCAAGGUGGAUGGAUCACUUGAGGACACGGGUCAAUGCAUUGAGGGCUGGUUCUAAAUCCAAGAUGACCUCAUGUCAAGAUCCUCAACUUCAUUACACCUUCAAAGACAUUUUUUCCAAAGAAGGUCUCAUCCACAAGUUCUGGGUGGACAUACCUUUUAGGAGGUCACCACUCCACCUGCUACAGAAGCCAAUGAGAAGAGGCAAAACCCAAACAACUUAUUGAAAUAUUCACAGAGCUUUGUAAGCUGGGAGGACACCAUCUGGCUCAAGCCCAUUCUAUGUAUCUCUCAUUGUAAAUUACAGUCAUCCCUCAGUAUCUCCAGGGAGCUGGUCCCAGGACAACCCCUCAGAUACCAAAAUCUGCAGAGCCUUGUGGCUUAUAUAAAAUGUUGUAGUAUUUGCAGAUAACCUAUGCACGUCCUCCUGUAUUAUAAGGAAUUAUCUCUAGAUGCCUUGUAAUGCUGAGUACAACUGUUAUACUGUAUUUUUUAUUUGCAUUACUUUAAUUAUCAUAUUGUUAUUUUUAUUGCUUCUUAUUCCCAGAUAUUUUUGAUAUGCAGUUGGUUGAAUCCUCAGAUGUGGAGCAGGAGGAUAUAGAAGGCCGACUGUAUCCGGACAUGGUAUGGACAAGGUGUCAUCCUGUGAGCCUUUGGGAGAGGACCCUGUCUUAACAUGCACUCUGCCUGAGGAGCAGCACACUGCUGUGGUGACUGUCUCUCUCUCCCUCUUUUUUUUUUUUUUUUCUUGAA